GCGAGGUUUCCUGGCGGAGCGGCACGGGAUGCGGCGGGAGCUAUGCGGCGGGCCUGGGCCCGUUCUGCCCGGCCACCAGGGACUCCUCACAACAUUCAAGAUUACUGGCAGUUUACCAGCCUUUUCUCAAAUUCAUCUGUCUGUUGUGGUUGAACCUGGGGGCUGAUUCUCUCCAUGUGAGUCUUUGGGUAUAAUGAACCAACUACCUAGGCUAAAUGUAAAAGGAGGUCCAUUGACUGACCAAAAAUGGAUGUGCUAUAACUCCAGAUCUGCAGUCAUAGGUUUAAUUGACUGGAAAAAAAUAGCAGAAUAAAAUGUUCCCAAGAACCA